rnacentral:rRNA from 1 species
UGGGGAAUAUUGGACAAUGGGCGCAAGCCUGAUCCAGCCAUGCCGCGUGUGUGAAGAAGGCCUUUUGGUUGUAAAGCACUUUUAGCGAGGAGGAGGCUACUUGGAUUAAUACUCUAGGAUAGUGGACGUUACUCGCAGAAUAAGCACCGGCUAACUCUGUGCCAGCAGCCGCGGUAAUACAGAGGGUGCGAGCGUUAAUCGGAUUUACUGGGCGUAAAGCGUGCGUAGGCGGCUUCUUAAGUCGGAUGUGAAAUCCCUGAGCUUAACUUAGGAAUUGCAUUCGAUACUGGGAAGCUAGAGUAUGGGAGAGGAUGGUAGAAUUCCAGGUGUAGCGGUGAAAUGCGUAGAGAUCUGGAGGAAUACCGAUGGCGAAGGCAGCCAUCUGGCCUAAUACUGACGCUGAGGUACGAAAGCAUGGGGAGCAAACAGG